rnacentral:rRNA from 1 species
UACGUAGGGUGCAAGCGUUAAUCGGAAUUACUGGGCGUAACGCGUGCGCAGGCGGUGCUGUAAGACAGGUGUGAAAUCCCCGGGCUCAACUUGGGAACUGCAUUUGUGACUGCAUCGCUGGAGUGCGGCAGAGGGGGAUGGAAUUCCGCGUGUAGCAGUGAAAUGCGUAGAUAUGCGGAGGAACACCGAUGGCGAAGGCAAUCCCCUGGGCCUGCACUGACGCUCAUGCACGAAAGCGUGGGGAGCAAACAGG